rnacentral:lncRNA from 1 species
UCUUCGUACGCCUCUUCCGGGGUUGGGUGUGGGAUAGUAGGGUCACUCAUAGAUGAUUAGUGUUUUAGCUUAUGUCCCCUUAUGGCUCUUAGUAUGGUAGUUUCUGCUUGUUAUUUUGCAUGCGACUGUAUUUAUAUUUCUUAUGUAUACAUAAUUAUUUACGUUAUUUCUGCGGGAUUACUUAUGCUUUAUUAUUUUGUUUUGUCUUGCCUUUGUUUCUAAUUUUGUCUUUGUUUUAAUGGAGCUUUUCAUUUUAUCCUAUGCGCCGAGGGUCGAUUGAAACAGCUCUCUGCCCUUUCGGGCAGGGGUAAGGCUUGUCUACAUAUUACCCUCCCCAGACCCCACCUGGUGGGAAUAUACUGGGUAGUUGUUGUUGU